GUUAACGAAAUUAAGUAGUAAUUUGAGUAGUUUAAGAAACUAAAAACAUUACACUUUCAUCGUAAAAUUAAAUAUUUCUCAA
rnacentral:tRNA from 1 species